UUUUUUUCUUUUUUGGCAAUUUUCUAGUUGGUAAUAAACAUUUAAACAGUUAUCCAUUGUAUCUGAUGUUGUAGGGUACUCAAAAAUUAAAAUAUAACACGGAAAAGUGGGUGAAAUGUUAGCUUUUAGCUAAAGCUAAGCGAGGAUUCUUAUUUCUCCCACAAUGCAUUCCAUGACGUCACAUGAGGCACUCGCUGACUGUUGGACGACAGACAGCCCCGCGGCCCGCCUACCAUUUUGAGGGAGAGUGAUACGAGGAGUUUAAGUUAGCUAGCUAGUGAAGCAGUGACACUGACAGUGACAGAUUUAUAAGUAAAUAAAUAUAGAUAGAUAGAUCUUCCGAAGCUGGGUGCAGUUUGUCAAGAUUAGGCGAGCAGAUUUUUCAGCUAAGUUAACGUUAGCUCUGUCGCCGCCUACUCGAGAAUAUGCAGCGCGCAUUUCAAAGAGGAGGAUAACCACUCAGGAGAUGCCAAGGUGGUCUUACUUCACUUGGAUUAAAGAGUGAGAGGAGUGCUAAAUUACUUCCAACCGCACUGCCGUCUGUGAACGCAAACCUCUCUGCUUGCCCUGUCCCGAGGUCGAGAGACACCGUCUGCCGCAAGCGAGAAAUUGCCACGGUUAUGCAACAUCAUUAAUGAAGGCCCUUCGGGAAAGCUACACCAAUUCACCUGCGGCUCUUCGAGAGGUUAGCGCCAGUUUGUCCCCAUCGCCCCAUCGCCACAUCCUUCAAACAGGUUCCUGAGGAGGCCGUCAGCCUCUACCUAGCCCGGCAGUCACGCUUCAAGAACCUAAUUUCACAUUAUUUUCUUUCCACAGACAAGUCCAAUGGUUUAGUUGUAUUUAUUUAUUUUAGUUGUUAGUUAUCUUCUUUCCUUCUGUCCCUGUCAUCUCAUUUAGUGGUGGUUUCCUGCAUUCUGCAUGUUUUGUUUUUUUCUUUGUGUGCUGUUUCUUUGGUUUUACUUUGCACAAAAUCAUUACUUUUUUUUCUUAGGCUAUUGAUUCCCGUGAUCUUGUUUAUAAAUUCCGAUUCAGCCAUUAGCCUACCUUCGUGAUCACGCAAAGCGGUCUGGAGAGGCGGUCUGUUCAGAAUUACAACCAACAUAAAAUAUAAGUGUGCAUAUACAAAUUUGCAGUAAUGUUCGGUAAAAAUAAACUUUAUUAACAUAAAAUGAAACCGGAGAGAUAGUUAAUGAUCCAUAACUGUUAACGGGAUUAAUUUCAGCAUGGCUAAUGUGCCCCUUCUUCCUACCCUAAUCAUGGACUAAACCAUAUCAGAAAACACAUACAAAUACAUGUAUUUGAUGUACAGUACACAUGUAUAUUUGAAUCACACAUAACUAACCUUAACCCAUAAACAUAAUAUAUUAAUUGGCUCUCUGGACUACACUAUUACAGGCUAAAGAUUUUUUGUAUAGAGUUGUUUACUUAAAACCUGUGUCUUUGUUCAGUAAUCUUUGUCCUUGUUCAGAAAAUGUUUAGUAACCAUUACAAGCAAUGCCAAUAAACUGUUUUAUUCUUAUAAAAA